GGUGGAUUCGUCUAAUCGGUCAGGACAAGAGGCUCUCAACUUCUAAAUGUCGGGUUCACCCCCCACAUCCGUCACCA
rnacentral:tRNA from 1 species